CAAUGUUGGUUUGCAGUCACUAGAGGGUGGAUAAGCCUGAGCUUUGUGAGCGAGAUCCAUCUGUGGAGAUACAGUACAUAACAGGAGUGGAGAGCAAGAGAGAGUGGGGAAGAUGUGGAGUGGUGAACAAGACAAGAAGUGACACAAAUCAAUGUGAGCACCCACCAUCACCAUCACCUGCAGAAGCAGCCUCCCCGACCUCCAUCACCUCUCUGCCUUUCACUGGGAGAGUCCACUAGAGACAGAUUCACAGGACACGCAGCCUCCUCAACAACACAGCAUCUGGAGUGAUCUAUCCAGGACUUGGUGGAGAGACAAUUGAUGACUUCUGGACAUUUUUCUUUUCAAGUUGUCCCAUCACUU